rnacentral:rRNA from 1 species
UACGGGGGGAGCAAGCGUUGUUCGGAUUUACUGGGCGUAAAGGGCGCGUAGGCGGCCACUGCAAGUCAGUUGUGAAAUCUCCGGGCUUAACCCGGAAAGGUCAACUGAUACUGCAGGGCUAGAGUGCAGAAGGGGCAACUGGAAUUCUCGGUGUAGCGGUGAAAUGCGUAGAUAUCGAGAGGAACACCUGCGGCGAAGGCGGGUUGCUGGGCUGACACUGACGCUGAAGUGCGAAGGCGUGGGGAGCGAACGGG